rnacentral:tRNA from 1 species
GGUAUUAUAGUUUAUUUAGAAUUUUAUUUUGAUGAGAUAGGUUUAUAAUACUU